GUAGGUGGCAAGCGUUGUCCGGAAUUAUUGGGCGUAAAGCGCGCGCAGGCGGUCCUUUAAGUCUGAUGUGAAAGCCCACGGCUCAACCGUGGAGGGUCAUUGGAAACUGGGGGACUUGAGUACAGAAGAGGAAAGCGGAAUUCCAAGUGUAGCGGUGAAAUGCGUAGAGAUUUGGAGGAACACCAGUGGCGAAGGCGGCUUUCUGGUCUGUAACUGACGCUGAGGCGCGAAAGCGUGGGGAGCAAACAGGGAUUAGAUACCCUGGUAGUCACGCCGUAAACGAUGAGUGCUAAGUGUUAGGGGGUUUCCCGCCCCCUUAGUGCUGCAGCUAACGCAUUAAGCACUCCGCCUGGGGAGUACGGCCGCAAGGCUG
rnacentral:rRNA from 1 species